rnacentral:rRNA from 1 species
GGGUCAGUAGGUUGGUCGUGCCACCGGUACGUACUGGUCUCACUGAUUCCUCCUUCCUGAAGAACCGUAAUGCCAUUAAUUUGGUGUUGCGGGGAAACAGGACUGUUACUUUGAAAAAAUUAGAGUGUUUAAAGCGAGCUAACACUUGAAUACAUUAGCAUGGAAUAAUGAAAUAGGACGAUCGAUCCUAUUUUGUUGGUUUCUAGGAUUGACGUA